ACGGGUGUAGCUCAGUUGGUAGAGCAGUGGUCUCCAAAACCAAAGGUCGUAAGUUCGAGCCUUACCUCCCGUG
rnacentral:tRNA from 1 species